GUGCUCAAUUUUGCAGCACAUAUACUAAAAUUAAAACAAUACAGAGACGGUUAGCAUGGCCCCUACACAAGGAUGACAUGCAAAUUUGUGAUGUGUCCCAUAUUUUA